GACGAACGCUGGCGGCGUGCCUAAUACAUGCAAGUCGAGCGCAGGGAACUGACGGAACUCUUCGGAGGGAAGGCAGUGGAAUGAGCGGCGGACGGGUGAGUAACACGUAAGGAACCUGCCUCAAGGAUUGGGAUAACUCCGAGAAAUCGGAGCUAAUACCGGAUAGUUCAUCGGACCGCAUGGUCCGUUGAUGAAAGGCGCUCCGGCGUCACCUUGAGAUGGCCUUGCGGUGCAUUAGCUAGUUGGUGGGGUAACGGCCCACCAAGGCGACGAUGCAUAGCCGACCUGAGAGGGUGAUCGGCCACACUGGGACUGAGACACGGCCCAGACUCCUACGGGAGGCAGCAGUAGGAAAUCUUCCACAAUGGACGAAAGUCUGAUGGAGCAACGCCGCGUGAGUGAUGAAGGUUUUCGGAUCGUAAAACUCUGUUGUAAGGGAAGAACACGUACGAGAGGGAAUGCUCGUACCUUGACGGUACCUUACGAGAAAGCCACGGCUAACUACGUGCCAGCAGCCGCAGUAACAC
rnacentral:rRNA from 1 species